rnacentral:lncRNA from 1 species
UCAAACUGAACAAUAGAGUAUUGAGUAUUAGUGGGAAUAAGAAAUGCAUUGCUCUUUAAAGCAGCAGCCUCACUUCCAUCUGCAUCAGUACAGGAUACUGAGAGGCUUGGUAGCAUUCCACUUGUAGGAAGCACACAGAAAAAUAAUUGAAUAUAGAAAAGAGGGUCUAGUGUCAAUGACGAUUAGUAGAAAAAAUGUAGUUACAAUCCCAGCCUUUUGACUAAAUGAUUAAUAUGUUGAGCUGAUGAAGUAGACAAGUGGCUGCUGUAGGUAGAAGUAAUGUUGGAACAAAUAAUACGUCCCAGAAUAGUUUCUGUAAGGCUGAUUUUACUCUGAAAUUUUAAUUAAUUUAUA